UUACAUCUGAACCCUGAGACCUCUGUUUUCUGGACUGACAGCACCUCCGUCCUGAAAUACAUCUGCAGUGAAGCAAAGAGGUUCAUAGCUUUGCUGCUAGCAGAGCGUCCAUCAUCAGAGAAGCUGCACCAGCGAACCAGAGGAGAUAUGUGAGCUCUGAAGACCAUCCAGCAGAUGAGGCAUCAGGAGGGAUGAGAGCGGAGGACUUCUUGGAGCUCAGCAGAUGGAUUAAUGGUCCUGAGUUCCUGUUUGAGUCUGAGAGAUUUAUAUCUAUCCAUCAAUUAUCUAUACCCACUCAUCCUUGCAGGGCCGUAGGUCUCAUUCUUCUACAUUUCAGCAAACAUUUCAGUUUUGUUUCUUCAUCAACUCCAAUCUCUCCCUGAGUCUCAUGACUUCAGAGAAAUUAAAUGUUUCUGUUUAAAUGACAUUUUUUAAAUGGAGCCUCAUCUCAGGCCUCAGGGCUUUAUUAUCAGACGUAGCAUCACCUCCUCUAACACUGAAUCAUGACACCUUCAGCAUCUUUUCCUCCAAUAUCUGUCAAAGACACGUCACUCAGACAGAAAAACUCUCCCUGUCCAUUUUUACUGCAUUAGUUCACCUUCUAAGGUUGGUCUGAUGGAGCUGCUUUGACUCAGAGUCACUGAUCUGGAAACUUCUCCAGAGUUUUCCAGCAUCACAGACUCUGGUGACAGAGAUGAUCCAGCAGGAGGUCCAGAACCAGGAGAAACCAGAGUUCUGCUGGAGAACCAGAACCAAGAUCAGGUGGCAGUUCACUUUAAGAAGGAACCAGAAGGAACCAAAGUUCUGCUGGAGACCAGAAACCCAGACAGGAAACGGUACCUUGUUGUCGACUGUGGAGAUCGACAUGUUCGCUUCAUUAGUUAUGAAGUCCUGGAAGCAGGAGCCUUGAAGAAGCUGGACAAAGACUUUAGACGUUAUCUGGCAGAGGAAAAUUUAAAGGAGUUCCUCGGAGAAAUUUUCUCUGAUGAAGUCUGGAGAGAAUAUGAACAAAACUUCCCCAGUGAGGUUCGGAAAAUGAUGUUUGAAUUUGCUCGUCUCAAACAUUUAGAUGAAGAUGUUCAGAUCAGCUGCCCAGAUAAGCUGAGAGAAGAAGCUCAGAGAGAGAAAGACAUUGAAACGUUCUUUGCUUCAGUGGAAGGAGCUUCCUGGGAGGACGGAGUCAUCAAAAUCUCCAGAGACAAACUGAGGUCUUUCUUUGAUGACAGUCUGCAGGGAAUCACUGAGAGUCUCAAAGAAAUGUUAAAUAAAAACUCCAACAUUGGGUUUAUUGUGUUAGUGGGGGGCCUUGCUGAGAGCCAGAUGCUCCGUCAGUUCAUCACUGAUCAGUUUGGACAUCAGUAUAAAGUCCUGUGUCCUCUUAGACCCCAGGAAGCGGUCCUGAAAGGAGCCGUAGAGUUGGGGAGAAACCCAGAGUUGGUCCGGUUUGAUUGAAUUGUUUUUACUGAGAAUCAUUUUCUGUUUUUGUUACUGUGAUUUAUUUCCAUGAACAGUUUUCAGGAAAGGAAAUGUUGUUAAAAUGUGUCAACAUGUAGUUUUAAUCCCUGAUUUUUGGUUCUACAGAAGAAAACAUUUAUCUUUAUGGAGGACAUCGCUGAUGGAAGAAUGAUGUACUGUGGUCUAUAAUUCAGAGCUGAUUCUGUGGUAAAUCAGUGGAUUCUAGUAGAAAUACCUGAUGAUGAGAAUAAAUAACUUUAUUAACAGAGAUGCUGGUCCAGUUAUUAAAAAUAUAAACCCAGUUCCACUGAAGUUGAACGUUGUUUAAAAUGUAAAUAGAAAUAAAAUAUGAUU